UCAAUAUCCUGUAGUCUUGGUGCCCGCGUUUCGGUGCGGGUGAAAAGGGAAGUCCGGUGAAACACCGACGCUGCCCCCGCAACUGUAAGCGGUAAGUCAAAGCCCAUCCCCACUGGCGUUUCGGCGUUGGGAAGGCGGGCCGAGGCGCUUGAGCCGUGAGCCAGGAGACCUGCCAGGACGACGACACGACA
rnacentral:ncRNA from 2 species